AACGAACGCUGGCGGCAUGCCUAACACAUGCAAGUCGAACGAGACCUUCGGGUCUAGUGGCGCACGGGUGCGUAACGCGUGGGAAUCUGCCCUUGGGUUCGGAAUAACAGUUGGAAACGACUGCUAAUACCGGAUGAUGACUUCGGUCCAAAGAUUUAUCGCCCAGGGAUGAGCCCGCGUAGGAUUAGCUUGUUGGUGGGGUAAAGGCUCACCAAGGCGACGAUCCUUAGCUGGUCUGAGUGGAUGAUCAGCCACACUGGGACUGGGACACGGCCCAGACUCCUACGGGAGGCAGCAGUGGGGAAUAUUGGACAAUGGGCGAAAGCCUGAUCCAGCAAUGCCGCGUGAGUGAUGAAGGCCCUAGGGUUGUAAAGCUCUUUUACCCGGGAUGAUAAUGACAGUACCGGGAGAAUAAGCCCCGGCUAACUCCGUGCCAGCAGCCGCGGUAACAC
rnacentral:rRNA from 1 species